UCGAUUGAGUUUGAUCCUGGCUCAGGACGAACGCUGGCGGCGUGCUUAACACAUGCAAGUCGAACGGUGAUGAGGAGCUUGCUUCUCUGAUCAGUGGCGAACGGGUGAGUAACACGUGAGCAAUCUGCCCUUGACUCUGGGAUAAGCGUUGGAAACGACGUCUAAUACCGGAUACGACUCUUGGAGGCAUCUCUGGGGGUGGAAAGAAUUCUGGUCAAGGAUGAGCUCGCGGCCUAUCAGCUUGUUGGUGAGGUAAUGGCUCACCAAGGCGACGACGGGUAGCCGGCCUGAGAGGGUGACCGGCCACACUGGGACUGAGACACGGCCCAGACUCCUACGGGAGGCAGCAGUGGGGAAUAUUGCACAAUGGGCGAAAGCCUGAUGCAGCAACGCCGCGUGAGGGACGACGGCCUUCGGGUUGUAAACCUCUUUUAGUAGGGAAGAAGCGUAACAGUGACGGUACCUGCAGAAAAAGCACCGGCUAACUACGUGCCAGCAGCCGCGGUAAUACGUAGGGUGCAAGCGUUGUCCGGAAUUAUUGGGCGUAAAGAGCUCGUAGGCGG
rnacentral:rRNA from 1 species